AUUGAACGCUGGCGGCAGGCCUAACACAUGCAAGUCGAGCGGAUGAAGGGAGCUUGCUCCUGGAUUCAGCGGCGGACGGGUGAGUAAUGCCUAGGAAUCUGCCUGGUAGUGGGGGAUAACGUCCGGAAACGGGCGCUAAUACCGCAUACGUCCUGAGGGAGAAAGUGGGGGAUCUUCGGACCUCACGCUAUCAGAUGAGCCUAGGUCGGAUUAGCUAGUUGGUGGGGUAAAGGCCUACCAAGGCGACGAUCCGUAACUGGUCUGAGAGGAUGAUCAGUCACACGGGAACUGAGAAACGGUCCAGAAUCCUAGGGGAGGCAGCAGGGGGGAAUAUGGGACAAUGGGCGAAAGCCUGAUCCAGCCAUGCCGCGUGUGUGAAGAAGGUCUUCGAAUUGUAAAGCACUUUAAGUUGGGAGGAAGGGCAGUAAGUUAAUACCUUGCUUUUUUGGCGUUACCAAAAGAAUAAGCAGCGGCUAACUUCGU
rnacentral:rRNA from 1 species